GUGGGGAAUCUUGCGCAAUGGGCGAAAGCCUGACGCAGCCAUGCCGCGUGAAUGAUGAAGGUCUUAGGAUUGUAAAAUUCUUUCACCGGGGACGAUAAUGACGGUACCUGGAGAAGAAGCCCCGGCUAACUUCGUGCCAGCAGCCGCGGUAAUACGAAGGGGGCUAGCGUUGCUCGGAAUUACUGGGCGUAAAGGGCGCGUAGGCGGACAGUUUAGUCAGAGGUGAAAGCCCAGGGCUCAACCUUGGAAUUGCCUUUGAUACUGGCUGUCUUGAGUACGGGAGAGGUGAGUGGAACUCCGAGUGUAGAGGUGAAAUUCGUAGAUAUUCGGAAGAACACCAGUGGCGAAGGCGACUCACUGGCCCGUUACUGACGCUGAGGCGCGAAAGCGUGGGGAGCAAACAGGAUUAGAUACCCGUGUAGUCC
rnacentral:rRNA from 1 species